CAGAGAGUGUUUAUAACUGUGAGUCAAACACUUUAUAACAUAUUGCUGUUUUUCAUUGUACAAAACCAACAAACACAAAAAUGAAUUUCUUCAUCUUUAUUUGGAUUCUGGGAGCUUUUAUUCCAGAAUCCAGAGGAGUCACUGUAACUCAGACUGAAGUUGUAACUAUAACUGAAGGAAAAACAGCCACUAUAGAGUGUAAAACUGAUGCUGGAAUCAAUGGCUGGGGUUUAGCUUGGUAUCAGCAGAAACCUGGAGAAGCUCCAAAACUCAUCAUUUAUGGUGUAGAUGCUCGGUUUGGUAAUAGUUUUCAGAGAUUCAGUGGAAAUGGACAAAGUGGUGGAACUGAUUUCACUCUGACCAUCAGUGGAGUCCAGACUGAAGAUGCAGCACAUUAUUACUGUCUGAGUGAACACGUCAUCAACAGUAAAGAUGUGUUCACACAGUGAUAAAGAGUCGUACAAAAACCUCUGUCAGUCACACUGCACUGAUACACUGACAGAUACUGCAGCUGCUCACACACACACACACACACACACACACCAUGUGGAGAAUCAAAAAGGACAUUUAAACAAGGAUUGAACACAUAUUUUGUUGGUCAGUAUUUUUAAAGAUAAUCAUUAGACAUCGUGUUGAUGUGAUCAUGAUUCUUCAGGAGUAAUUAAUGGUCUCAUGAUACUUUCUGUCCAUCAUUGAACUGAACACCUGAUUUCAGAUGCUGUGUUCAGUCAUUUCUGAACUUGAUUUGCUCAUCAGACAUUUUUCCAUCUCUGUUCAAUCAAUGACUCUGUUUCAAACCCUCCUGAGCUGCUUUGCUGUCUGUAGAAUACUAACUAAAAAUGAAACCUCUUCAGUGACUGACAUGAAACACUGAUCCACAUGAGACUCAUUUUAAACUUUGUGAGAUGUUAACAUGUUGCCAAACUAAUGAUGCAACACACUAAUAACCUCAAAAAUACAUAGCACACACAAACACUUGUUAAGGAAUUAUAUUUUAACUGAAUAUUAAAUGAAUGACUUUAUUUCUUCUGUGGAACACAAAAGGAGAUUGUAAGUCUCAGUCACCAUUCACAUUCAUUGCAUAUUUUCCAUUUAAUUAAAGCGAAUGGUGACUGGGGCUGAAAUUCUGUUGAGCAUCUCAUUUUGUGCAGGGGCGCAACUGCACAUUUGCUGAGGGGUAUGUGCAGGGAUGGAUUAUGACUUGCAAAGGCCCCGGGGCCAAUUAUCUCCAAGGACCCCCCUCCCCUCCCACCAUUUUUUCCUGUUCUUUCCCUUAGCUGCACAUUCACAGUAAUAGAAAGUGGAAGUUAUGAUGAUCAUGAAUAUUCAAAACGUUCUUACUCCGCGUCAAAUGCCUGCGCUACCCCAGCGCUAAAAAAGCAUUUGUACACAUUGAACAGGGUUUACAGAGUCAAGAUAUUUUUCUCAACAAAUCUAAUAUUAGCUACACAAUGAAUAAUCAACAAUGACGCAAAUUAAGGCGUAUGAAACACACUUCUUUAAUGAAUUAACUGUCAAAUAUACACGUAUUUAAUGCAUCACAUGAAUCAAAAAAUUAUGUCACCAUAAAACCACCCUGUUUUCCCCACGCCUGGCCUCAAAAUACUGCUCU